rnacentral:lncRNA from 1 species
AGUGGUUUGACUUUUGCUGGUUUUGCGGUAAUUGAGCCCAAUGAAGCUUUUGAUUUGUAUCUUAUGUUCUUGUAAUAUUUAAUUGAAAUAGAAGCUGCUUGAGGUUUUGGUUGAUGCUUAUUAUGCUUUUGUAGGUUUUCAAUUGUCCUAUCAGACCUGAGUCUGGUUCCGUCUUAUGUGAAUUGAAAGGAUCAUCACUUGGUAAGUUCUUUGAGUCCAACUAUGC